rnacentral:lncRNA from 1 species
GGAGAAUCCAUUCCUUGUCUCUUCCAGCUUCUAGAGGCUGCGAGCACUCCUUGGCUGCAUCACUCCAACAUCUGCUUCUAUCGUCACGUCGCCUUCUCUGCUUUCUCACCCUCCUGCUUCCCUUCUAUAAGGACCCUGUGAUUACAUUGGGCCCACAUGGGCAAUCCAGGAUGAUCUUCCCAUCUCAAGAUCCUUGACUUAGUCACAUCUGCAAAGUCCCUUUCGCCACGGAAAAGGCUUCAGGGAUCAGGCAAAAUUCCACUGGCAGAGGUGUCACGGCACAUCUGUUGGAAAAAACAGGACCAGGGCUCCUUCAAGAAAUGGCUGAUUCUAGGGCUGGGGCAGAGAAGAUACAAGAAGAGUGCAGAACAUCUAGUAGGACCAGAAGAAAAGGACAAUAGGAGCCUGCACCGGCCUCUCCAGACCCCUGCUUGUUUGCUUUUAUCUUCUUCAUUUCUUCGGAAGGCAUGUAUAUUCCUUUUGAUACUGUCUAGCUGUUGCUCCAUUUUCUUCUGAAAGCGGAUGCUGCAGAGAAGUCUGAAACCAAAGUCACUUUGUGGCCUUACAGCAUAGUGGUGAAGAGCUCUGCUCUGACUGCCUUGGUUUAUAUCCUGGCUCUUCAACCUCGACUAGAUGUGUGACCUUGACCUCUCUAAUCCAUGCUGUCUCAUCAUCUGUAAGGUGGGGCAACUCAUAGACCUCCCUGUCCUGGACCCUUUGCAUUUGUUGGCCAAACCAUCCUUGCUCCCUUUUGUAUGUUUACUUUUUC